GCGACUUCUACUUUUAUAGCUCGGUGAGAAUUUCUUGCGCCCUUUAGAUAAAUACCCAUUGAUUUGUUUUUCUGGUGUCAAUGUAAUUUAUAUAUUUUUAUUCUGAAUUAGUUGCAAUCCUCAUUCUAUAUCCCAUAUCUCAUAAUAUAGUAGAGUAUAGACCUAAUAAUUGUGGUACCAACGUAAUUAUUGUUUUGAUUUUUUAUCUUCUUCUCCAUGGGUUGACUAUACCACCAUAGGCUUCUAUCUUUCCCACCUAUGUUUGAAGUGCUCAAAAAGGAGUUAGAGCAUAAAUCAGCAAGUUGAAAAUUUCAGCCAUGAGGAUUUCUGAAUUACCUCAAUAUGCUUUGUGAUAUAAGUAUCAAUUAGAAAUUCUAAAGAGAAAACUCUAGGAAUCAGUUUCCAUUGUUAUACCUCAUCCUAAAUUGAAUUGUCGAGGGUGGGUUUUGUGGUACUAUGCUAU
rnacentral:misc_RNA from 1 species